AGAACCUUUCUAGAAUCUUUGCAGUUGGAAGUAGCAAGCAGAAAGAAGCGGAUCAUUGAUCAAACGUCAAGAAAACAAAAGAAAAAUAAAAUUAAAUAAAACAUAUUUUCAUAAAUCUACCAAUUAAAAACGUAUUAUCUUUAAUACAAACAAGAAGUUUAUCGGAAUUAUAAAAGGCUGACAAAAUUAACUCAUCACCAUGGCUAAAGAUUACUACAAAAUUCUGGCUAUAGGUAGAGAUGCAUCCCAAGAUGAAAUCAGAAAGGCGUAUUACAAAUUGGCAAAAAAAUAUCAUCCAGACAAGAACAAAGCGCCCAAAGCCGAGGAGAAUUUUAAAGUUAUAGGCGAGGCAUAUGCAGUAUUGUCAGAUACGAAGAAACGUAAAAUCUACGACCAAAACGGGGAACAGGAUUUGAAGGGUACUAUACCCGACCCAUUUUGGAUCUAUGAUAACUUUUUCUUUAAUGUUGUAUUAAGUGCCGGUGUGGCUUUGGCCAUAUUUUUUGCGGUGAAAACAAUUUGUGAGCCUUCCACAGAAUCUGAAAGUGAACUGGAUGAUAAACCGCAGAGCUCAGAUACAAAGUCUAAAAAAAAGGAUGAUAAAAUAUAAAUGGUAUUUUGUUUGACCGAAGGAUAUUUGAAUGUUAAAAUGUAAAAAACAAUCCAUUAUUGAUUAUUCCCACUCUUAUACUUAUUCCAAAAAGAUAUUUUUAUUACGUAUGCCAUAUUUUUUGUGGUGAAAACAAUUUGUAAGCCUUCCACAGAAUCUGAAAGUGAACAGGAUGAUAAACCGCAGAGGUCAGACACAAAGUCUAAAAAAAAGGAUGAUAAAAUAUCAAUGGUAUUUUGUUUGACCGAAGGAUAUUCGAAUAUUAAAA
rnacentral:sRNA from 1 species